UCUCCGUUGGUGAACCAGCGGAGGGAUCGUUACCGAGUUUUUCUACUCCCAAACCCCUGUGAACUUAUACCUUUACUGUUGCUUCGCCGGGUUAACGCCCCGGAAGGCCCAAAAGGCCGCCGGAACCAGGCGCCCGCCGGGGGACCCAAUCUCUUGUAUUUCUUACUUUGCAUGUCUGAGUGUAAUCAUAAACAAAUGAAUCAAAACUUUCAACAACGGAUCUCUUGGUUCUG
rnacentral:misc_RNA from 1 species